rnacentral:rRNA from 1 species
AACCAAAAGGGCAUUGCCCUCAGUAGCGGAGCGUGAAGCGGAAAGAGCUCAGAUUUGAAAUCGUGCUUUGCGGCACGAGUUGUAGAUUGCAGGUUGGAGUCUGUGUGGAAGGCGGUGUCCAAGUCCCUUGGAACAGGGCGCCCAGGAGGGUGAGAGCCCCGUGGGAUGCCGGCGGAAGCAGUGAGGCCCUUCUGACGAGUCGAGUUGUUUGGGCAAUGCAGCUCCAAGCGGGUGGUAAAUUCCAUCUAAGGCUAAAUACUGGCGAGAGACCGAUAGCGAACAAGUACUGUGAAGGAAAGAUGAAAAGCACUUUGAAAAGAGAGUGAAACAGCACGUGAAAUUGCUUGAAAGGGAAGGGUAUUGCCCCC